rnacentral:rRNA from 1 species
AACGAACGCUGGCGGCGUGGAUAAGACAUGCAAGUUGAACGCUAAUUCCGGUGUAGCAAUACAUCGGAGUUGGAGUAGCGCAAGGGUGCGUAACACGUGGGUAAUUUGCCGUGAAGUUGGGGAUAACUCGCUGAAAGGCGAGCUAAUACCGAAUGUGAAGUUUGGGUGGCAUCACCUGACCUUUAAAGCUGGGGAUCGUAAGACCUGGCGCUUUAUGAUAAGCCCGCGGCCUAUCAGCUAGUUGGUGAGGUAACGGCUCACCAAGGCUAAGACGGGUAGCUGGUCUGAGAGGACGACCAGCCACACUGGAACUGAGACACGGUCCAGACACCUACGGGU